ensembl:snRNA U6 U6 spliceosomal RNA
GUGCUCACUUCAGCAACAUAUAUAGUAAAAUUGAAAUGAUACAGAGAAGAUAAGCAUGUCCCCUGCACAAGGAUGACAUGCAAAUUCAUGAAGUAUUCCAUAAAAAA